AGUGAACGCUGGCGGUAGGCCUAACACAUGCAAGUCGAACGGCAGCACAGUAAGAGCUUGCUCUUACGGGUGGCGAGUGGCGGACGUGUGAGGAAUACAUCGGAAUCUACUUUUUCGUGGGGGAUAACGUAGGGAAACUUACGCUAAUACCGCAUACGACCUACGGGUGAAAGCAGGGGAUCUUCGGACCUUGCGCGAUUGAAUGAGCCGCUGUCGGAUUAGCUAGUUGGCGGGGUAAAGGCCCACCAAGGCGACGAUCCGUAGCUGGUCUGAGAGGAUGAUCAGCCACACUGGAACUGAGACACGGUCCAGACUCCUACGGGAGGCAGCAGUGGGGAAUAUUGGACAAUGGGCGCAAGCCUGAUCCAGCCAUACCGCGUGGGUGAAGAAGGCCUUCGGGUUGUAAAGCCCUUUUGUUGGGAAAGAAAAGCAGCAGGUUAAUACCCCGCUGUUCUGACGGUACCCAAAGAAUAAGCACCGGCUAACUUCGUG
rnacentral:rRNA from 1 species